ACGAACGCUGGCGGCGUGCUUCACACCUGCAAGUCGCACUGUGAAGCUCCAGCUUGCUGGAGUGGAUCAGUGGCGAACGGGUGAGUAACACGUGAGCAACCUGCCCCUGACUCUGGAAUAAGCGCUGGAAACGGCGUCUAAUACUGGAUACGAGAAGGGUCCGCAUGGGCACUUUCUGGAAAGUUUUUCGGUUGGGGAUGGGCUCGCGGCCUAUCAGCUUGUUGGUGAGGUAAUGGCUCACCAAGGCGACGACGGGUAGCCGGCCUGAGAGGGCGACCGGCCACACUGGGACUGAGACACGGCCCAGACUCCUACGGGAGGCAGCAGUGGGGAAUAUUGCACAAUGGGCGAAAGCCUGAUGCAGCGACGCCGCGUGAGGGAUGACGGCCUUCGGGUUGUAAACCUCUUUCAGCAGGGAAGAAGCGAAAGUGACGGUACCUGCAGAAGAAGCACCGGCUAACUACGUG
rnacentral:rRNA from 1 species